rnacentral:rRNA from 1 species
AUGAUUAUUGGCGUGUUAGUCUUUACAUCCCUCGUCCUGCAUACUCUAAAAUUGAGGACGAUGGUGGGAGCAUCCUUAAGUUCUCAUCAACCCAGAUUGGGUGAAACAGCAUUUUCAUCAGUUUUUAGCCAUAGUAAUUUGAUAGGCUUCAGGCUGGUUUUUAUUGGCACAAGCGGUGCAUAUGAUACAUUUGUACAAUUGUUGUGCUGGGAAUGUCGUUCUGUGAUUAGAAGUUGGGAGGAUAGAAAUGCUAUGCUUUUAAUUUCUUUUGCUAGUAUCCAUUAUUUUACUAUAUUGGUUUCCACUGCCUAUGAUUUACUCCCUCUGUAA